AAGUGAUUUCAUGAGCUUCCCAAAACGUAAAAACCAUAAAAAGAUAUAAAUUCAUUUACUAGUUGUAUAGAUAGUUUCUCUUAGUAAAUAUUUCUUAAAGAAAUGAUGUUAUUAGAAUAAAUAUUCUCACAAAAGUAUUAUUAUUGUAGUAGUGUAUAGUGAAUGAGUUUUAUUUGAGAAUAUAUGUUAGAAAUCUUAUUAUUUGCUUGAUAUUGCAAAGAACAAAAUGUAUACAAUUUCAUGGGUAGAUAUGAUUUUUAUAAUAUGAUUUAGUGGCCUAUUUAGCAAGUUUUCUAGCAUGUGGAUUUUCAUGGACUGCUGCAUCACAUUUUUUCCUUUGUUAUUUCCUAUAAUCUUAACAUUUGACCGUCUAAUUAAAAAUUAAGUUGAUUAUAGAAUUUUAAAUAACAUGACUUAGGGUAAUAACAUGAUAUGGAACAUACAUCUAACUUUUUUAUUUUUUAUAAUGUUGAUAAUAAUGUUUAGGUUAAUAUUUUGACUGGUCUUGAAGCAUUGGAUCGGUAGCUAAUUGCAAGAGGGAUGAUUUUAGAAAGACAUUCAUGGCAGCCAAUCCUUACUUUGGAAAGGCAGUGACGAGGGUGAGUACAAGGACAAGAAGAAGAAAUAUAUGUUGUUUGACAAUGAAUUUAGUGUUUUAUUAUAUUUGUAAUUUUUAUUAGAGUAAAUGAUUCUUGUUUGAAUGGUUAAUUAUUUACUUUGUAAAUUUAGCUAUAUAUUUUUUAAGGUCAAGACGAUUAUAAUUUUAAUAAGUUUUGUUA